rnacentral:lncRNA from 1 species
UCGCUAUUGGGCAGAGCACACUAUGGGGCAGCCCCACACGUUGCUAUGGGGCACAGCACGCUAUGGGGCAGCCCCACACGUCGCUAUGGGGCACAGUGCUCUAUGGGGCAGCCCCAUACAUCGCUAUGGGGCAGCCCCACACCUCUCGUCUUCGUUGCCGUCCAUUGGCAGACCCUACAAAGAGAAAGCAGAGCUGUGAGCCCCCACCCCACAGACCCCAUUUGGGGGGGGUCCUCACCCCCCCCCACGGCCCUAUGGGGGUCCCUAUGGGGGGGGCUGCAACCCCAUAUCUCUAUAUGGGAUUGUAA